AUGACAGAGGCAGGCUCUUGCAGCCUACAAGGUCUUAUUGUCCACCCUGGAGUUGUAGAUCAGGAUUGUAAAGGGGAACUUCAGGUUCUCUGUUCUUGUCCUCAAGUUGUCUUUUCUAUAUCACAAGGGGACAGAAUAGCUCAACUAAUAAUUUUGCCAAGCCUACAUGGCUGUUUUUUCUUCCUCUGGUAUUCCUAGAGCUGCAAGAGGGAUUGGUUCUACUAGAAAUGAUUCUGAUUACUUAAUAAUGCCUUUAGAUUGUUGUCAAAUUUUAUCUACUCACGUAGGGGUAAACCCUCGUGGCGUCAGGCCAUUACAGGUCUGACAAAUGGAUGUCACGCAUAUUUCCUCCUUUGAGAGAAAUCAAUAUUUACAUGUUUAGU
rnacentral:lncRNA from 1 species